GGGAGAGAGAAAGUUCGGGGAGAGGGCGGCGCAGAGAAAAACAGAAACACCGAGACAGACCGAGAAAGACCUAGAGAGACUGGGCAUGCCUGUGUUUGCUGUCCUGCUAGGUGAUUAUCAGGUGGGCUUGAGCUAGUACAGAGAUUCGUUCAUUCAUACAGGGACACGGGAUCAGAAACAGUUAUUAAAGGGCAGGUCCUAAAGUUGCUGAGGUAGACCGAGGGGAACUUGUCAUUGCUCCGUUUUUGUAAGAAGGAAAGGGCAAGCCAGAAAGAUACUAUGGUGCUAUUCUUAGAGGUGAAAGGAAGGCCACAAGCCAAGGAACUCUGAACGCCCCAAUAGCUGGAGAGGACAAGAGCAAACAGACUCUCCUGAAGCUUCCAGAACAUCUGUGCUAAUUCCUUGACUUUAACAUCACAGGGCUUCUAACCACACAACAUGGGGAUGAAACAGUAUGAGGACCCUCGCCAGAUGCCAGCUGGUGUCCAGAUGUUCUGAGAUGUUCCAGCCUCCAGCACCAGAGCUGGCAACAGAGCAGGAACUAACAGGAGUGGAGGGUUGGGGGAAAUCUCUUCCACAGAACUGCACUGCCUGC
rnacentral:lncRNA from 1 species